AAGUUUUUGUGCAGAGAGAAACUAGAAGCAGUUUUCAGUUAGUGUGGAGUUGGGUACAUUGGAGAGUAAGAAGGGACCAUAUUAGGAUCUCCUAUACUGCACCUUUGUGGAAAAACAAGGAGGCAAGUUAUUUCUUUUAAUUAAUUACUUUGUUUCUAUCCUGUUUGUCAAAAAAGAUUUUGCAGCAAAGUGGGAACUGUUGAUGCCUUUAUAUAUAGAUUGGAGACACACUGGAAGAUUGAAGACCCUUCAGAGAUGAUGAACUCAUUCUUUCCAAAGAGGAAAUCCAGGCUGAAUGCAUCAUGUGAAGCAAUUUACCAGAAGUGUCACAACUCUUACAAAAAUGACUGAAAUACAUUUUGGAGCACCCCCAGAGAGCAGGUGCUGACAUGCCUGGGCACACUCAAUGAUUGCAUGAAACAAAAACUCCAGUAUUUCCCUUCCCUGUGUCACCAUAGCCAUCCCACUGACCUGAGAUCCAGUCUUCCCAAAGGGGCUACUUCUCACCUCUCAGAUGGAAAACAAAAAGGCAUGAAAUCAAUGCUCUGAAUGUAAACUAGACAGAUAAAUAUCAGUGCAGCAGGAGGGGAGAGCAAUAAAGUGAGCAGGCCUGAGUGAUGGUGGUAACCUGCUGAAUUCCCAGGUCACGGAGUAAUUUACUGACUGGUCCUAGACCCCUGGAUAAUUAUCCAGACAGCCCCCAUUCUGAUGUGAAGCCUCCUGCUGCUUAUGUUAUUAAUUCCGGCUGCAACCAGCGGGCGUUGGUGGGAGCAGAGAGAAUCAACCAAGUCCCCAAGCUGCUGAGUGAAUGCGGAGGCACCUGCCCAGGCCCUCUGAGCCAGACCUCACCAAGAAAACCCACUAGCUCUGGCUUUCAGCUCUUAGCACAGCCACUGCCUGGCCCUAGGGAGAGGCUCCUAAGGAUGGCCAAGGCCUUGGUAAAGGCAGAAGAUCCAAGUUCUGGAGUGUGACCAGCUUGUAUCAAAGAACCACUGCCUUGUUCCUCUUUGGGGCUGACUGGAAAGUGAUUUUGAGGUUUUCCCCAAUAAAACUGAUAUCCAGGAAGCAA